rnacentral:rRNA from 1 species
AUACGGAGGAUGCGAGCGUUAUCCGGAUUUAUUGGGUUUAAAGGGAGCGUAGGUGGACAGUUAAGUCAGUUGUGAAAGUUUGCGGCUCAACCGUAAAAUUGCAGUUGAUACUGGCUGUCUUGAGUACAGUAGAGGUGGGCGGAAUUCGUGGUGUAGCGGUGAAAUGCUUAGAUAUCACGAAGAAAUCCGAUUGCGAAGGCAGCUCACUGGACUGCAACUGACACUGAUGCUCGAAAGUGUGGGUAUCAAACAGGAUUAGAUACCCUGGUAGUCCACACAGUAAACGAUGAAUACUCGCUGUUUGCGAUAUACAGUAAGCGGCCAAGCGAAAGCAUUAAGUAUUCCACCUGGGGAGUACGCCGGCAACGGUGAAACUCAAAUGAAUUGGCGGGG